GGUGUGCGGGUGCUAAUACAUGCAAGUCGAGCGAAUGGAUUAAGAGCUUGCUCUUAUGAAGUUAGCGGCGGACGGGUGAGUAACACGUGGGUAACCUGCCCAUAAGACUGGGAUAACUCCGGGAAACCGGGGCUAAUACCGGAUAACAUUUUGAACCGCAUGGUUCGAAAUUGAAAGGCGGCUUCGGCUGUCACUUAUGGAUGGACCCGCGUCGCAUUAGCUAGUUGGUGAGGUAACGGCUCACCAAGGCAACGAUGCGUAGCCGACCUGAGAGGGUGAUCGGCCACACUGGGACUGAGACACGGCCCAGACUCCUACGGGAGGCAGCAGUAGGGAAUCUUCCGCAAUGGACGAAAGUCUGACGGAGCAACGCCGCGUGAGUGAUGAAGGCUUUCGGGUCGUAAAACUCUGUUGUUAGGGAAGAACAAGUGCUAGUUGAAUAAGCUGGCACCUUGACGGUACCUAACCAGAAAGCCACGGCUAACUACGUGCCAGCAGCCGCGGUAAUACGUAGGUGGCAAGCGUUAUCCGGAAUUAUUGGGCGUAAAGCGCGCGCAGGUGGUUUCUUAAGUCUGAUGUGAAAGCCCACGGCUCAACCGUGGAGGGUCAUUGGAAACUGGGAGACUUGAGUGCAGAAGAGGAAAGUGGAAUUCCAUGUGUAGCGGUGAAAUGCGUAGAGAUAUGGAGGAACACCAGUGGCGAAGGCGACUUUCUGGUCUGUAACUGACACUGAGGCGCGAAAGCGUGGGGAGCAAACAGGAUUAGAUACCUGGGUAGUCCAA
rnacentral:rRNA from 1 species